rnacentral:lncRNA from 1 species
ACGUAAUCUAAUAGGGCCCUUUGACUUGAUUCAAUUAAAUCUUUCUUUUUCCAAUUAAAUAAUCAUCCAGAAUUUAAUAAAAAUGAAUUUCCAUGUGUCAUCCUGCAGAAUGAUGACCUCUGUGAUGGGGAAGGCUUAUGUAAAUUCUGCUGAUCGCUUUUUAUCUGCCUCUGCCUCACUUCCUCCAAAAAAAUUGCCUUCUGUCUGUAUAUUUACAUUAAUUUCUCAUCUGCUCCAUGUAUCUCUGUUUGCAGGAACAAUUCCCAGCUGAAAGAACUGUGAGUAUCACCAGCUUCUUUCAGUACAUCCUCAAAAAUGGACCUUCUGUGGUGGAAAAAAGAUCUCCAAAGUGGGGUUUUUGAUCUGUGCCUCAGGUUUGUUGUGCCCUGGCAUGCUGUAGGGCCAGCUUCCAAUUGGACCCUUCCAAAUAUCACUAGGAGCAUCUGUAUGGCCAUUUGUCACCAAGAAAAUCCAGUCCAAGACACCAGCAACCCCAGCAGCAAUCCCCAGGAAAAGCACAGAGUGUGGCCCACGUUCCACAGUCUCUUCCAGCACAUCUCCACUAAGAAAUUCCCAUCAAAGCUACAGCAGGACAGAAAUCAAACGAAGAUGUCAAAACUGUGUUCCCCCUGCCUCAGGCAAAACAGAGCCAGGGUGACCCCCAAGUUCUUCCAAAGGGGAUCUCAGUUUGUGUGAAGGAAAAGCAUCUCCAGCAUCCUCAUAACUGAGGGCAGCGCGGGAUGAAAAGGAAAAUCAGAGGAAAAUAAUGGUGUCAGGACCUGGAUCUGAGAUCUGCAGCUUUAAAGGAGAGAAAAGCCAGGGAGAUCCCAGCCUCAGGGUGCAAGAUGUGUUGAAAUACAGAUGUUAAUCAGGAACAGGUGGUACCUCAUGUGGGUUCAGCAGUGACAUUUCCACGUUUUAAAUGCACUCCUUACUUGCUGGUAACAAAACUUCCCAUUACUACAAAGAAAUACAUAUUAUACCUCAAACAUGCUUCACUGAGCUUGGAGAGUAAAGAUAAAAUAAUCUUUUUAUAGCAAAUAGGAAUGAAUACUUAAAAAUAAUAAAAAGUUGGUGAAUAUUCA